rnacentral:lncRNA from 1 species
UGCCCCACGACGAGGUCUACUCCGACACCCCGAUCUGAGGUGCUUGGGUCAUCUGGGUCCGAGAAUUAUGUGCUCAAGUGACUACACUAGUUGGAGUGAUGCAGCGACAGAAGGAGCAAAUUAGGAAGCUUCAAGACUUGGUGUCGCAAUAGGUGGUGGCGGCGGCGACGGCACCUGCGAGCCAGGAACCGCCUGCGCCUUCAGCGCCGGUUCCUAAUGUUACUUGGGGAGCAAAUAUAGCGGUCGUACUGGUGACGACUCGCCACGUUCCGGCAAGUACUCAUCCGACGGCUACUGGAUCCUCGAUCCCCGAUCUAGCGGUGAUGGAGGCCGAGAGGGAGCGAGCACUUGUAGCUCUUACGACCUUUAAGAGGCUCAACCCUCCUACCUUCGAUUGGAAGGUAGUGGACCCAUGGGCUAUGGAGGCAUG